AGUCGGUUGUGUUAAUUUCGGAUUUAUAAAGGUUAAUCCGAGUUCACCCGAUCUAGGGAUACCACUUUUAGAAGGAUAUAAAAAGGAAAAUAAGAGGAGAAAUUUCAGAAACCCUAAAUUUCUUCCUUUCCUCUCUCAGCCGUCACUCCACCUUUCUUCUCUCUCAAUUUCUCUCUCCUCUCCGCUGCUCUCCUCUCCUCCCUUGCUGGUCUUCUCGCUCUCGCUGUUUUCCUCCCUCAACUUCUCUCUUCGUCUCUCUCGCCGUGGGCUGCUGUGCGAGGCUCACAUGGGUGAGGCUUUGCGAGUGCGGAACGCAGCGAGUGUGUCGGUGUGUGGGCGAGCCUUCGACGAGGCUCGAGGGUUUUGAUUACGCGAGGCUUGGGUGUGAGUUCGGGGGUGCUGAUUUCGCAUGGCGAGUGCGAGAUUGGAUGAGCGUCGCUGUUGUGCGAACGACGGGCGAGGGCUAGGUGCACGUUGGGUGGUGUGAACCUUCGACGAGACUCGAAAGCUGUGCGAGCGAAGAGCGUAGUGUGCGAAGGUGUGUGUGAGAAUCGUGGGUGAGACGAGCGAGCGGCUGUGCGACGAGGCUCGAAGGGCGCGACGAGGGUGGCGCGAGUCUGCUGUUGCUACUGCUUGGUGUGACGUGCGCGAGCGGGUGAGCGUGGUGGUCGCGCGAGUAGGUGAGUGUGGCUGUGCGCCGUUGCCGGAGGUUGGUCGCCGGAGUUUGGUUGCCGGCGAGCGUAACGACUAGGUGUGCUGGUGCUGCUGCAUGAUAUCGAGCAUACGGGGACUAGGCUUUGGUAUUUACAUUUAAAGCAUUUGAAACAAGCAUUAUUGGUUUUUCUAAGACUUAUAUAAAUGGUUUGUGGUUUGAAUGAAAGGGGUCAUUGAUGAUUCCCAAGUUGUAUCUAUAUUUUAAUUCCGCUACAUUUUAGUUUUCGAGACAAUGUUUUAAGUUA